rnacentral:rRNA from 1 species
CCCUUAGAUGUUCUGGGCCGCACGCGUGCUACACUGAGUGGAUCAGCGGGUCAGGUUGCGCGAAAGCGUUUCCUAAUCUUUAAAUCCGCUCGUGAUGGGGAUUGACGGUUGCAAUUUUCUGUCAUGAACGAGGAAUACCUUGUAAGCGCGGGUCAUCAUCCCGCGCUGAAUACGUCCCUGCCCUUUGUACACACCGCCCGUCGCUCCUACCGAUUGAGUGGUCCGGUGAGCCAUUCGGACUUUCAUCAUGCUGGUUUCCAGUCUUGAUGAAGGAAAGUCUUGCGAACCUUAUCAUUUAGAGGAAGGAGAAGUCGUAACA